CCUGCGGGGAGGGGGCUUAGCGGGGCUGCGCGGGGCUUGCUGCUCCCCCCUGCUCCGGCUGGGGGCUCCCCCCCGCCGGUACCGACCUGCUCCAUCCCCCCCCCCCGGCACGGUGCCAAGGGGGGUUCCGUCUCUGGGGGGUCGGUGGGUGCCUCCCCCAUUGCCCCGCGGGCUCCAUCUCCUGGGGUCUGGAGGGUGCAUCCCACAACUUUGGGACUGGGGAGGUCGGGGGGGGCUUCCCCCGUGACCCACGCCCGGGGGGGUGCAUUCCCCAUGGACCACGAGGACCCCGUGCCCCGGGGCCAGUGGGGUGUAUCCUCGUGUAGGUCAAUGGGCACAGCCCCACAGGUGCUGUUAGGGUCCAUCCCCCCAGGGUUGGGGUGGUUUCAUCCCUGCAGGGCUCGGUGGGGUGCAUCACCUGGGCUGGGGGUGCUUGUGGGGUCCCCCUUGCCCUGCCUUUGCUUUGCUGCCCCCCGUGCACCCACGUGGAGGGUGAGGAUCUCCGUCGCCUGCCGUGAUGUGCUGAGGAUUAGGUCCUGUGUGUGUGACUGUCUCGCAGUGCAGCCUGGCUCUGGGCUAUGGAAAGUAGUUCUCUGUGUCAUUAAAUACUCCUGUCCGCACAAAGCAGGCUGUGGUGUGCGCGGUGUUGCGAGCCUCGGAGCGGCAGUGGAUGAGGUGCAACCACUCAACCCUAUCAAGAAGGACACAGGACAAUGGAUUUCUGUAUUACCUCCCUGCUGCCUUGCAGGACCCCGAGACAGCAUCUUGCGAGCAGAUAAAACCAAAUAA
rnacentral:lncRNA from 1 species